GACGAACGCUGGCGGCGUGCUUAACACAUGCAAGUCGAACGAUGAGGCCCGACCUUGCUCGGGUGGACUAGUGGCGAACGGGUGAGUAACACGUGAGCAACCUGCCCUUCACUCUGGGAUAACUUCGGGAAACCGGGGCUAAUACCGGAUAUGAGCUCCUGCUGCAUGGCGGGGGUUGGAAAGUUUUUCGGUGAGGGGAGGGACCCCGGGCUAUCAGCUUGUUGGUGGGGUAGUGGCUCACCAAGGCGAUGACGGGGAGCCGGCCUGAGAGGGCGACCGGCCACAUUGGGACUGAGACACGGCCCAGACUCCUACGGGAGGCAGCAGUGGGGAAUAUUGCACAAUGGGCGGAAGCCUGAUGCAGCAACGCCGCGUGCGGGAUGACGGCCUUCGGGUUGUAAACCUCUUUCGGCUGUGAAGAAGCGAGAGUGACGGUACCUGCAAAAGAAGCACCGGCUAACUACGUG
rnacentral:rRNA from 1 species